rnacentral:rRNA from 1 species
AUGGGUUAGCCGAACCUGAUGGAGCCAGAUUCUGCCAAUGAGGCCUUGCCUGCUCCUUGACAGAGAAUGGGGUUAACAUUCCUCAGCCAGGACGUGGAUAAUGCAUGGUGACAUAAGCCAACUUGGCAAUACAGGGGGAAGCCUUUGGAAGCGUUAUCUCUUCUUUUUGAUGGUGUAGUGCCCUGGAAUCAGAUUGUUUGGUGGUAGGGAUUGUUGAUGAGCAGAGCACCUUGUUUGCUGAGGUAUCUCAGUGUGCUUCCAGUGGUCCAUGAAAAGCCUGAGGAAGGACUUAUUCACCCCCCUGGUCGUGCCCACAACCGCAUCAGGUCUCCCAGGUUAGCUGCCUCUGGUCUGUGGAAUGAACUGGGUGAGGGAAGUCGGCAAAUUGGAUCUGGAACUUUGGGAAAAGGAUUGGCUCUGAGGGUUGGGCGCUUGGUGCAGAGGCGGGCACG